AGUGAACGCUGGCGGUAGGCCUAACACAUGCAAGUCGAACGGCAGCACAGUAAGAGCUUGCUCUUACGGGUGGCGAGUGGCGGACGGGUGAGGAAUACAUCGGAAUCUACUUUUUCGUGGGGGAUAACGUAGGGAAACUUACGCUAAUACCGCAUACGACCUACGGGUGAAAGCAGGGGAUCUUCGGACCUUGCGCGAUUGAAUGAGCCGAUGUCGGAUUAGCUAGUUGGCGGGGUAAAGGCCCACCAAGGCGACGAUCCGUAGCUGGUCUGAGAGGAUGAUCAGCCACACUGGAACUGAGACACGGUCCAGACUCCUACGGGAGGCAGCAGUGGGGAAUAUUGGACAAUGGGCGAAAGCCUGAUCCAGCAAUACCGCGUGGGUGAAGAAGGCCUUCGGGUUGUAAAGCCCUUUUGUUGGGAAAGAAAAGCAGCAGGUUAAUACCUCGCUGUUCUGACGGUACCCAAAGAAUAAGCACCGGCUAACUUCGUG
rnacentral:rRNA from 1 species